rnacentral:rRNA from 1 species
AUUGAACGCUGGCGGCAGGCCUAACACAUGCAAGUCGAGCGGAUGAAGGGUGCUUGCUCCUGGAUUCAGCGGCGGACUGGUGAGUAAUUCCUAGGAAUCUGCCUGGUUUUUUUUGAUAACGUCCUGAAACGGGCGCUAAUACCGCAUACGUCCUGAUGUAGAAAUUGGGGGUUCUUCUGACCUCACGCUAUCAUAUGAGCCUAUGUCGGAUGAGCUAGUUUGUUGGGUAAAGGCCUACCAAGGCGACGAUCCGUAACUGGUCUGAGAGGAUGAUCAGUCACACUGGAACUGAGACAAGGUCCAGACUGCUACGGGAGGCAGCAGUGGGGAAUAGUGGACAAUGGGCGAAAGCAUGAUACAGCAAUGACGCGUGUGUGAAGAAGGUCUUCGGAUUGUAAAGAACUUUAAGUGGGGAGGAAGGGAAGUAAGUUAAUACAUUGCUGGUUUGACGGUACCAAAAGAAUAAGCACCGGCUAACUUCGUG